UACGGAGGGGGCUAGCGUUGUUCGGAAUUACUGGGCGUAAAGCGCACGUAGGCGGAUUGUUAAGUCAGAGGUGAAAUCCCGGAGCUCAACUUCGGAACUGCCUUUGAUACUGGCAAUCUCGAGUCCGGAAGAGGUUAGUGGAAUUCCCAGUGUAGAGGUGAAAUUCGUAGAUAUUGGGAAGAACACCAGUGGCGAAGGCGGCUCACUGGUCCGGUACUGACGCUGAGGUGCGAAAGCGUGGGGAGCAAACAGG
rnacentral:rRNA from 1 species